CCAGCUGUUUCCUGUCUACAGUGUCUGUAAUGUAGAUAAAUGUGAGGAUUUUCUCUAAAUCCCUCUUCUGUUUGCUAAAUCUCACUGUCACUGCUAAAAUCAGAACAGAUCGAGCCUGCGCAAUGGAAUAAAAGUCCUCAAUAUUGAAAUGUAAAUUGCUCUCAACAUCUCACCUCUCUCUGGAGUUCUUUUUCUUUUUUUCUUUUCCCCCUCCCCCCUCAUUAUUUCUGCUAACCAAUUCAUUUCCAGAGUUUGCACUUAAGAAGCAAUGGGGAAAAUCAACAGUCUUUCAACACAAUUAUUUAAGUGCUGCUUUUGUGAUUUCUUGAAGGUGAAGAUGCUUACUGUGUCCUAUGUUCAUCUCUUCUACUUUGGCCUGUGCUUUCUUACAUUGACCAGUUCAUCAGUGGCAGCUGGCCCAGAGACACUUUGUGGUGCUGAAUUGGUGGAUGCUCUUCAGUUUGUCUGUGGAGAAAGAGGUUUUUAUUUCAGCAAACCAGCGGGGUAUGGAGGCAUUCGACGUCCAUCUCCUACCAAAGGAAUAGUGGAUGAAUGUUGUUUCCAAAGCUGUGACCUGAGACGGUUGGAGAUGUAUUGCGCUCCAGUAAAACCACCUAAAUCUGCACGAUCUGUACGUGCUCAGCGCCACACCGACAUGCCCAAAGCACAAAAGGAAGUGCAUUUGAAGAAUACAAGUAGAGGAAACACGGGAAACAGGAACUACAGAAUGUAAGAAAAUACCAUCCAUAAGAGUGAAGAAUGAACGUGUCAUCUGCAGGAUAUUUUGCUGUAAAUAAAUUGUCAAAGAUUGGACAAAACACUAGAGUUCAAUAAGCUUGAUGAAAUCUCCACUAAUGGGCAUUCUCCCAAUGAACAAUGCAAGUAAACAUUCCAAUAGAAACCAUCUCAGUGCUAAAAUGUUUCUGAGAGUAGUAGAUUGCUGUUCCAAUUUUUCAUCAAUUUUAAAAUGUCCUGCAUACACAACCAUACACUCAAAUACAGAAACACAUUCCUCUUUCUGUGCCCCUCAAAAGCCUGUAAAUGUAUAGGCCUUUGAUGGAUCCAAUUGCACUAAAUUAACUUAUGAACCUUGCUGUUGGAGUCGUUCACCAGCCUUAUCUAAGUGGGUUGUGGUUUUUUUUAAAUAUUUGCACUUCCAUACAAGCAACAGACAGUUUGCCUUGCAGUGUCUGAUAACAGUUUGUUUGCCCCUUCCAUAUUUGCACAGUUUGACGUUCCCAGUAGCAGCAGUAAGUAAUACAUUAAUUUCACCCACUGUAUUUUGACAGCAUAUGACUUACGUGCAUUUGCUCCAAGCAGGGAUCCUGAUGUGCUUCAAUAUGCACACACAGCUCUUCCAUGAGUAGGAGUCCCCAUUUACUUCUAUGAAGGAAUCUGCUAUACCCAUUUCCCCCUCUUUUUGCAUAUAAACCUCCUCUUAGUCACUGAAGUGCAGGGGAAAGCCCACAUACACUAGAGACCCAUGUAUAGGGGCCCCCCAAAUCUGCAACAAACCUCUGGAUCAGGAUAACAGAGUUUAAGAGUUAAGUUUCCCCCCUUCCCAACUCUUGACAACACACAACACAGAGAUGCAACAAAACUAAGAUGACUGACUGGCUAGAAUCAGCUAAGUCAGCACACACAGGUCAGGGACGUAGCUAGGAUUUUAGGAAGGGGGGGUCCAGGCUAAGUGCCAUCAUUAUAAUGGGGCUUGGGUGCGGCGGCGCAGCAGCACACACCAUUCAUUUUUCUAAUGGAGGGGGGGGUCCGGACCCCAAGAACCCCCCCCCCUUGGCUACGUCCCUGCACAGGCUGUUUUAAAUCAUCACUGCUUCUUUCAGGUAGUGAAUUCCUUUGCAACCAUAUAAAUAGACUGCCUUCUCUUCCAUAUAGUGCAGCAUAUAGAAAUUUAGCAUAUCAAUAAUACACAUAUAAUCAACAGUAUGUACAACUAUUUCAUGGUACAAUGGUGCUAUUUUGUAGCUUGUUUUGUGAAAGGGGUCUGGCCAAAGGUGUAAGAGGUAAAAGCAAAAUAAUACAUUUAGAGUGCAAUGGAACAAAGCCAAAGAGUAAAGGAAAGAGGUUUUGCAAAAUGCAAGAAUUUGUUAAAAGAUUUCUAGCUGAUUGAAUUGUAAAUACUAACAUUAGGUACACUAAUAUUCAAAAAUAAACAAAAAAGUGUCUACCAUAUAGCCAACAAAGUGCAUAGCAAAACAGUGACUGGUGUCACUGCAAUAACCUUGACAGACACCUUGCUCUUAGCUUGUGGUAGUUUUAUACUCAGCUCUUAGUGCCAUUGAAAAAAUGCAAAUCAAUAUUUUGUGCCAAAGAGGCUUCAGUGGAAUUUAAACUGUCUGAAGGCUAAACUACACACUUUAUUAAAUAAUAUAGCAUACAGAGAGCCUCACUUUCUUACAUUUGUGUAAGGAGGGGGUGAGUUUAGUCUGGAUAAUCACAUGCAGACAGAGGGGAUUUCAAUAUAUCCAUUCAAUCACUUUUUACUAAUUUAAAUUAAAUUGAAAUUCUCUAUCUGGUACAAUUCUUGCUCUUUUGCAGCAUUUGGGAUUGGUGGAGGAAGAUUAUAGGUCUUAAAUACUUCCAUGCUUAUAAAAUUACCGGCACAUAGAGGGAAAGGUUUUUUAAGCUUAAUCUUCCAGACAUACUAGUGCACAGGAUGUGUCAUAAACACAUGGGAACCCUUACUAGCAGUCCAGAAAUAUGCUGCCCAGCAAGAACUGUAUCAGUGUUUUCUGAUUGUGUAAGAGGCAAGCAAUUGCCACUGCAACCCACAACUAAUUUCAAGUAAUGAUGUCUCAUAAUAAUAGCACUGGAGCUAAUUUAGUCCUAUGUCCUGCUGGGUGCAGUAUUCAUUUAACUACAGCAUCUCUGACAGAUGACCAUCCAAUCUCUGUUUAAAUACCACCCAUAGAAAAAGUGUCUACCACUUCACAAGGCAGUGUGUUUCACUGCAAAAGAGCUGUUCCUGUUAGGAAGUUUCUCCCAAUGACUACAAGUGUUUACAGUAAAAAAAAAAAAAAAAAAGUUACUGGCCAAGAAACAGUAUAAUGUAAAAAUGAUAUGCCAUUGUGGCUUUAGGUAGUCCUAAAAACACUUGCAUGCUCAUUAGGUCUCACUGCCUUCAGAUGGUAUAUAGGCAUGUUGAAUAGGAUAUACAUGGUAUACAAGUGAAUUUAAGGCUACAAUCCUAUAUCCAGUUUCUUGGGAAUAAGUCUCACCAAUUCAGAGGAACAUAUAUCUGAGCAGAUAAGCAAACAAAUUGCAUUGUAAGGCUGUAACCCUAUGCAUAUUAACAAAGAAUUAAAUCCAAUGAGAUCCAGUGGGACAUAUUUUCAAGAAAACAUGUGUAGGAUUAUGCUGCAUGGCAAGAGUUGGUCUUAGAUGAAGAAUGAACUCAGAAUGGCUUUGGGCUGAUCCACUGUAUGAAUAUAAACUUUAUUUGUACUUAUUAAUAAUUUAUACAUGUAUUUGGAUGAUGGCUGGAACCUAUGAAUGUAUAUACAUAUGAAUUCUUCUGCUGUAUUCAAGGCUCCUCCAUUUUAAGAGCAAGAAUUUUACAAACGAAGCAUCAGAAAAUAAUUAUUAUAUGCCCAAUCCCCAAAGCACUCCGCCGGCACAAACCCCACUGAGGACAGGAGCCUUAAGCAUGGAACUUGCCUGCAUCAAACUUACGCACAGGCAAGCUUCCUAUCACUAUACAGUAAAUGAGAACAACUUUUACUUUGAGGUAUGACAGAGUGACUCUGAUGCAUGUCUAACCAACUCCAGUGAUGACAAAUCAGUUGUGACCCAAGGAGAGUAAUGAAGCAACCGAAGCAACCAGCUGGUACAUUACACCAUAUUUUUCUGAAUAAGUUUGGCCAGUCUAGAUCAGGAAUCCAGUGCAUGUGUUACUUUAGUUUUUUAAAAAAAAAAUCAGAAUGUGACAGUAUGUUUUACAUAAUUCUGGAAGUUUUUCAUCAUUAUUUUUUAUCAUUGCACUCCAGUAACAGAACUGAAUACAAAUUUCCACUAUCAACUGGCUAUGCUCAAGGUUUGCACAUGCCCACCCUAUCUAGAAGCUAACAGGACUAAGAACUGGCUGAUAUAUGGAUGGGUGACUUUGUGCAAAUCUGGAAUUUUGUAAGAAGCCAUGUAAUACCUUACUAGCUGGCAAACUGUUAAUAUGUUAAAAUUACUAUUAAGUUGUUUUCCAGAAGAUCAUUCUUUCAUACUCACUGAGUUAGGUUUCAUAACACAUUUAGGUGUUUUGGGUUUAUGAUUAACUUCUUGAAUUAGAAAUUAUCUAUGUGCUUAAAUUUCUAAAAAUUCAUUACAGAAAACUAUUGGUUCCAAUAAUAUAUAUAUUUUUUAAAAUCUAAAAUGAAGAGGAGCACUAUUUGCUUACAGUCCACCACAUCAGCUUUCUUUUGCCAUCAUCCUCCAAGCACUUUAAUGGUGCAAGUCCUACUGAGGUGAUGGGGCACUACAUCAGCUUAACGCUUUGCAGAUUGGGCUACAAGUGUUUGGAUAUGUACAGUUUUCAUUUUUUCCCUCUGUUCAUUCAAAAUGCAAACUGUCAUGACUUGAUGACAAGUAAAUAAUAUUUCAUACUAUGUAUGUAACAUUGGUGUGUUGCAGUACUCCCCAUCCCAUGCCUACCACAAAUGUAACAAUAUCAUCCCAUUAUUCUCCCCAUGUUGGCUUUCCAUGGACACACAGGAGGUUCAAGCAAUGAAGGUCUUAAUGCUUACGAAAAACAACUGGAUCAGAAGUCACUCAAAACCAUUAAUUCCACCUUCCCCACUUUAUGCAAAAGUUCAAGCUGGUUACACAUUAUUCCAUAAACCAAUGGUGUAAAGCUUUUUUUUAAAGUGGCUCAUUUUAUGCAGUUAUCAUGAUACGUUAAAAUUUUUCAAGAUUUUCAUUGCUUGUUUUUCUAAAUCUUCACUGAUUGUAGUAAAAGAAAAAGGGGGCUUGGUCACACUGCAUUAAAUAAAGGCUACAGCAACCUUCGGUUUGUAGAAUGUACUGAAAUGUUUGCAGCCCUCCUGGGAUCCAGUACAAAAUGUGAAAUAUUACUGUAAGAGGGUAUCUUUCUAAUGUAUUUGUAUGUAUAGUUUACACCUCUGUGAGGUCUAAUAAAGAAUAAUGGUUAAUAAACAUCGGCAUCUUUUGU